GUGUAAGAUUUUAGCAAGUAGAUAUACAUGUACAUGAUGGAGAGGAAAUUGUAAACUAGCAUCAGAGGAAUGCAAAAAAUGCAGACAGCAUUCAUUAAGUAUUUUAAUCCUUGCUGUGUUAUGGAUAGCGAAUAAAAGGGAAUCAUAGCUUGUACUUUGGGAAGGGAUGAUCUUGUGUCAUUUGGCACCAGGCAGAUGUUGUUGCUUCCAGCCGAUAUGAAGGUCAGGCUGAGUGGUUCUGGUAUCUAGGCAUCCUCUAACGACCUGUCAAAUAAACAUUAUUUACAUGAUUAUAUCAACCCAAGUAGGAUUUAAACAGUUUGUGUGUCAGGCAGAGUUUUCAGCUGCCUGGGAUGUUUUCUCAAAAUGGCUAAUGGGACUAAUAUAUCUGAUUAUAUUUGGUCUUAUGAAUAUUACAUGGAUUACUUAGAUCCAAUUCCAGUUGAUGCAAGCAAGCUGAAGGCAAACAGACAUUCAAUUAUCAUAGCUUUUUGGAUUGGGCUGGCAUCUUUUGUGGCAUUUCUCUUUUUCAUUUUGUUCUACAUGUCACGGUCUGAUUCUACACUGGGGAAGAAUCGAAGACUAGAGAAAAGAUUUCCAAGGAAUUAUUCAAAAAAUAUCCAUCAAAAUCUUGGCACAAACCACAAUAGACCAACUUCUGAUGACAAUGGAGUGGAAGAAAUUGAAGAGAUCUGCUCAAAUAGGUCACCAUGUCAUCGUUUGAAUAAUAUGGUUUGAAUGUUCAUCACAACAAAGUCCAUACAAAAAUAUAUUACAAUAGAAGUUGCUUAGAAGGAGCUUCAUUAGAACAAGUAAUACAUUUAGUAUAUUUGUUUUAAAUGACACAAUCAAACUUACCUCAGGUGUAAUGUACAGUGAAAUGACCAUUUUUCAAUUCGAAUCAGAAGCAGGUUUAGAAUAAGUAUGGUAUGUGUGAUAUCGGUUUCAUGAAUCCCCACAGAACAAAUAUUGGUAAUUUCUUCCAUUGUUACUCAAUGUUUUGUAUAAUAUAAUCUGUUUAUGGCAGACUACCCUGGAAAUAUUUGAUUACUAAUUUAUUUUCAAAACGUUAAAUGAAAAAUUUUGAUAUGGAUUUUAUUUUUAUUGGAAUAUGCUGCAUUCUUCCUCACUUGUUAUAUCGUAAAUGCUUUUAAACCAUUUUAAAGUUACUUUUGUUUUAAUAGGUGAAAUGAUUUUAUUACACUUGAGUUGAACUGCAUUCUGUCUUGAUAAGUGUUGUGAAUAAUCUUGGAUCACACAUUAGCUCAGCUCAGAUAUAAUGAAAUAAAUAAAUGUAAUGAAAUGUUACUCGG